AGCGUUAUCCGGAUUUACUGGGGUUAAAGGGUGCGCAGGCGGAUAUGUAAGUCAGUGGUGAAAUCUCCGGGCUUAACCCGGAAACUGCCGUUGAUACUAUAUAUCUUGAAUGCUGUGGAGGUAAGCAGAAUAUGUCAUGUAGCGGUGAAAUGCUUAGAUAUCUGGAGGAACACCCGUGGCGAAGGCGGCUCUCUGGUCCGAAACUGACGCUGAGGUGCGAAAGCUAGGGUAGCAAACAGG
rnacentral:rRNA from 1 species